UCUAUUUUUAACUUUUUGAGGAACCUCCAUACUGUUGUCCAGAGUGGCUGCACAGUUUGCAUUCCCACCUUGCUUUAUAUUUUGAAAGCUGUGGCCCAGGCGUGUGUACAUUUAGAGCUGUGUCAGCCCUCUUUAUCUCCAGUAAUGCCUUUUGCCUUCAAGUCUGUUUUAUUUGGGAUUAAUAUGGCCAUUGAAGCUUUCCUUGGGCUAAUAUUUGCACAGAAUGUCUUGUAAACUUCACCGAGUUAGCUUAACCAGCCCAAUAUUUUAUAUUAAAACAUAAAGCAUAAAAAGCACACUAUGUAUAGACAUAUUCCCCCGAAACCUUUGACAUUUGAGUAGAGCAUUUAGCCCAUGUAUAUUUGAGUGUAUCCCUAUUGCAGUUCCUGGGUGUGCAGGUUCAUGGGUCUCAUCAAAUUUGGAAAGCUUCUGACCAUUAUUUGGUCCAUUAUAUGCUGCUGGAAACCGUGAAUUCAGACCCGUCUAGUUCUUUGGCUCCUGGUCACUGUGGAUCCUGCCUUUCUUUCAUUUUCUCGACGUGUUACUUACUCGAUCAACUGCUGGGCACACCAGCCUCUCUUCUCUGCCCCAUUCUUUGCUCACAUGGGCACCCUCCUCUCUCAUCUCAGACCCAGAGGCCCAGGGCACCCCAGUGGGACCUCUAGACCUGGCUUCAGACCUCUCUUCCCGGUUGGGCCACCCCACCCUGUAUGGGGCUCUGAGCUCGGGCUCUGCCCUGGGCCUCUGCGUGUCUCCUCCCUCACCAUGCAAAUAUCCACCUUGACCUGCCCACCCGACAGCUUCAGGGGCAAAAUCCUCAGGAAAGGAUACUGGGUGGAAUAGUGCCUCCCUCCAGAUUCAUGUCCUCCCAGAGCCCAUGAAUGUGACCACAUCUGGAACUGGGCUCCUUGCAGACGUGAUCAGUUACGAUGUGGCCAUAUUUGAAUGGUUGGCCCUAAAUCCAGUAUGACUCCUGUCCUUGUAAGAAGGGGGACAUUUAGACACAGAGACACAGGGACACAGGCAAAUGCCAUGUGAUGAUGGAGCAGAGAUUGGCCUGAUGCUCUACGGCCACGGGAUGCUGUGUCUCUGGCAGCCACGCAAAGCUGGAAGAGGUGGGAUCCUUCCCUAGAAGCGCUGUGGGGCCUGCCACACCUUGACUGCAGACGUCCAGCUUCCACGGCCUAGAGGGCGUGGUGUUAGGUGCCCCAUUUACAGCCACCCCCAAACUAAAGCCAGAAGAGGAAAGAAGCCGCGUGUGUAUUUUUGGGGAAUGGUGUCUCUGGCGUGGUGGCUGUGUCUCUCAGUGCGCUGCAGGCAACUCUGUCUGCUUGUGUGUCCCCGCUGCACCAUCGGCCAACGGCCUCAUCAUGGCCCCGUGAAGAUGACAGGAGUGUCCCCUGCAGCCGCGGUGGCCGUCACCCCCGCUCCGUGGUCGGGAGUCUCGUAUAAUUAUUUUCUCCUUUUGUGUUUGUGUUUCUUUGGUUUUGGUUGCUCUUCUUCCAGCUUUUAAAUUUGGAACUUGGUUAACUCAGUGUUUUCUCCCCUCCAGACACGUAGGCUACAGUUCCUCUGCUGACGUGACUCGAGACGUGUGCGUCACUAGCCUGUCGUCAGGGAGCUUGCUGUGUGGGACCUGAAUAUUUUGAAAUGUACUGAGUUGUGACCCAAGGCUCAGCAGACGAGAGAACUUUAGACUUGGAGUCUACGACCCCAAGUGACCCCAAUGUGACAGAAGGAAAGGGGACUAUGGGCCGACGUGGCAAGGUGCUGCCGCGGCCAGGCAGCGCGGCACAAGGACUGCAGGACGCCGCGGAGCGCUAAAGGAGCUCCAAGAAAAAAAACGCACACGCACUGGUUGCAGUCUCUACCUGAUGAGAAUCUCCCUCCAAGCCAUCCAAAAGCAAAAGGAGGACCAGGAGCUCAUCACGACAGUUCUCAAACACAAGACUAGAAGAACCAAGAAAAGCAAAAAGGGGGAACUGUGGGGGAUAAGCUUAGGAACCCCCCGGGCUUACACCAACGGGUUAACAAGGCACAGAGAAGUACGAAGCUAUAGGAUGCUCACCCCCGAGUUUGGGUAAACAAGACAAGGCAACCGAGAAUAGGGGGGUAUAGAGGCCCCCGAUGCACAGGUAUAUGCAAUAAACAAGAUUAGGCACUCAGGGCAGAAGCACCCCCAAUUUAGUACUAUAGCAGCUUUCACGGGAGAAUAGGACCAAGCUGGGUACGUUGGUGAACUGGACUAUGGACCCCUGCACUGCAGGCGUAGCAGCCCAGAGCGGAGAUGGUUAACGAAAGCAAAGCUGCCUUGUCAACCCUGAGGUCACGUGUCCUCCCUGCCUCAUCCCCGAGGCUGAGAUAAACAGAGGUGCUGCCUCAGGUCCGCUGUAAACAACCUUCCUCCCCACUGCCCGGCGCCCGGAUUUUGGUUUGUAUUAACCCAAAGCCCUAACCCCGAGG